rnacentral:rRNA from 1 species
CGGGUGAGUAACGCGUGGAUAACCUGCCUCACACAGGGGGAUAACAGUUAGAAAUGACUGCUAAUACCGCAUAAGCGCACGGUACCGCAUGGUACAGUGUGAAAAACUCCGGUGGUGUGAGAUGGAUCCGCGUCUGAUUAGGUAGUUGGUGAGGUAACGGCCCACCAAGCCGACGAUCAGUAGCCGACCUGAGAGGGUGAUCGGCCACAUUGGGACUGAGACACGGCCCAA